UUUCGUGGUCGUCAAGGAUUCCAGCACAUUAGAUUGCCGGCAUUCGCGUCGAUACUCUAGCGUCAUGCUUGUAAGAUUAUAGUCUUCCAGCACGUCAAUCGGCACGCUCUGCAGAUCCAUCCGAUGUAUUUUACGUUGUUUACGUGCUGGUUGGCGUCCAUGUCGUUCCAUCUGGGCUGAUUUUUGGCGGAGAGGAGGAGUUGGUGAAACUAGGAAAUGUGCAUGCCGAAAGUUUGAUAAAAUGAGGCAGAUGGGUACUUACGGCUAAGCCUGAUCGAACACGGUCCGCGGUUCCAUCGCUUGGAGAUCAGGCACCUGGUUGCUCUUGUGAUGAUUCUUUGGGUGUUGUAGUCCCUAAUUAUCCAGUCCCUACGCAUUCCAUUUUUUCCUGCUGCAUCAACCCAGGUGUCAAUCUCAACCACAUCUCCCCUGUUCACAUUUCAUUCAAUUCAUAUCAUUCCAUGAUGUUGAAGCCACGCCAUAAAAAAAGGGGCUGAAAUGUGUUUCGAUGUAAUUUCUGGUGGCUCACAUUCUGCUCUCUAUUAGAUAACUUAAUGGCAUGUUGCUGCCAUCUCGGCUGCAGAGAGACUGAAAUUAUGGGCAAGUUUUCAUAGAGCUUUGUGGGUCGCUGCCACAGAAAAGGUAACUUCCCAAGCUUUUGUGGGCAAGAGAAAUUCCUGACAUCUUGGAUCUCUGUGUAAAGAAGGGAAGUUGGACUGGGAAGGAGAGUGGGAGAAUUAUGCAUGUACCAGGAGCUGUACUUUUCGACUUGAACAUGUAUGCGUGUGACUACCCAUAUGAGUUUCCUGAUGCUCAUUUCUCUUGUUGCACCAAAGCCAUUCCCGGCAAGACCAGAACUCGUUACAUGAUUCAGAGCUGUUUCCUGCAUUCAUUCCACAGGGAACAAAUGGCUGAUUGAGGAAGCUACGGACCACAACAAAGUGGGAUGAGAAAGAAGAAUGAAAUCUAGUAUCCCUGUCAUGGAAAAGAGAUUCUCUCCUGCAUGGAUUGCCAGUGGUUGAUACAACGUUAAUUCCUUAUUAUAUUUUCAUAAAACGAAUUGGUUAUUCUGGAUUGUCUUUUGCAACAUGGCAUUGCUAUUUGAUCAUAUUUUUAUAUUUAUAUAAUGUGAUAAAUGACAUAAUAUGUUAAUGUGGUAAAACCAUUAGUUGAGGCAUGCGUAGAUUGCAUGAGGUCCCUUGUACCUGGUAUUUUACCAAUUUGUUUACAUUUGAGACAAAAUCCAGAUAACUAUGGGUAUGGUUAAUAUAGGGUACAAAAAAGAACAUCGCAAUCCCUUUCAUACAAAUGUGAAAAGUUUGGGUGCUAGAUAGAUAAAAGAAGAGAAGAAAACCAACCUGAAG